GGAUCAUUAUAGAGUUUUCUAAACUCCCAACCCAUGGUGAACUUACCUUUUGUUGCCUCGGCAGAAGUUAUAGGUCUUCUUAUAGCUGCUGCCGGUGGACCAUUAAACUCUUGUUAUUUUAUGUAAUCUGAGCGUCUUAUUUUAAUAAGUCAAAACUUUCAACAACGGAUCUCUUGGUUCUGGCAUCGAUGAAGAACGCAGCGAAAUGCGAUAAGUAAUGUGAAUUGCAGAAUUCAGUGAAUCAUCGAAUCUUUGAACGCACAUUGCGCCCAUUAGUAUUCUAGUGGGCAUGCCUGUUCGAGCGUCAUUUCAACCCUUAAGCCUAGCUUAGUGUUGGGAAUCUACUUCUCUUAGGAGUUGUAGUUCCUGAAAUACAACGGCGGAUUUGUAGUAUCCUCUGAGCGUAGUAAUUUUUUUCUCGCUUUUGUUAGGUGCUAUAACUCCCAGCCGCUAAACCCCCAAUUUUUUGUGGUUGACCUCGGAUCAGGUAGGAAUACCCGCUGAACUUAAGCAUAUCAAUAAGCGGAGGAAAAGAAACCAACAGGGAUUGCCUUAGUAACGGCGAGUGAAGCGGCAACAGCUCAAAUUUGAAAUCUGGCCCUUGGGUCCGAAUUGUAAUUUGUAGAGGAUGAUUUUGGUGCGGUAUCUUCCGAGUUCCUUGGAACAGGACGCCUUAGAGGGUGAGAGCCCCGUACGGUUGAAUGCCUAGCCUCUGUAAAUCUCCUUCGACGAGUCGAGUAGUUUGGGAAUGCUGCUCUAAAUGGGAGGUAAAUUUCUUCUAAAGCUAAAUAUUGGCCAGAGACCGAUAGCGCACAAGUAGAGUGAUCGAAAGAUGAAAAGCACUUUGAAAAGAGGGUUAAAUAGCACGUGAAAUUGUUGAAAGGGAAGGAUUUGUGACCAGACUUUUUCUGGGCGGAUCAUCCGGGGUUCUCUCCGGUGCACUUCGCCCAGUAAAGGCCAGCAUCGGUUUUCGGCGUGGGAUAAAAGCAGUAGGAAUGUGGCUCUCUACGGGGAGUGUUAUAGCCUAUUGUAUAAUACCGCGCUGGGGACCGAGGUUCGCGC
rnacentral:rRNA from 1 species